GACGAACGCUGGCGGCGUGCUUAACACAUGCAAGUCGAACGGAAAGGCCCUGCUUUUGUGGGGUGCUCGAGUGGCGAACGGGUGAGUAACACGUGAGUAACCUGCCCUUGACUUUGGGAUAACUUCAGGAAACUGGGGCUAAUACCGGAUAGGAGCUCCUGCUGCAUGGUGGGGGUUGGAAAGUUUCGGCGGUUGGGGAUGGACUCGCGGCUUAUCAGCUUGUUGGUGGGGUAGUGGCUUACCAAGGCUUUGACGGGUAGCCGGCCUGAGAGGGUGACCGGCCACAUUGGGACUGAGAUACGGCCCAGACUCCUACGGGAGGCAGCAGUGGGGAAUAUUGCACAAUGGGCGGAAGCCUGAUGCAGCAACGCCGCGUGCGGGAUGACGGCCUUCGGGUUGUAAACCGCUUUCGCCUGUGACGAAGCGUGAGUGACGGUAAUGGGUAAAGAAGCACCGGCUAACUACGUGCCAGCAGCCGCGGUGAUACGUAGGGUGCGAGCGUUGUCCGGAUUUAUUGGGCGUAAAGGGCUCGUAGGUGGUUGAUCGCGUCGGAAGUGUAAUCUUGGGGCUUAACCCUGAGCGUGCUUUCGAUACGGGUUGACUUGAGGAAGGUAGGGGAGAAUGGAUUUCCUGGUGGAGCGGUGGAAUGCGCAGAUAUCAGGAGGAACACCAGUGGCGAAGGCGGUUCUCUGGGCCUUUCCUGACGCUGAGGAGCGAAAGCGUGGGGAGCGAACAGGCUUAGAUACCCUGGUAGUCCACGCUGUAAACGGUGGGUACUAGGUGUGGGGUCCAUUCCACGGGUUCCGUGCCGUAGCUAACGCUUUAAGUACCCCGCCUGGGGAGUACGGCCGCAAGGCUAAAACUCAAAGGAAUUGACGGGGCCCCGCACAAGCGGCGGAGCAUGCGGAUUAAUUCGAUGCAACGCGUAGAACCUUACCUGGGUUUGACAUGGAUCGGGAGUGCUCAGAGAUGGGUGUGCCUCUUUUGGGGUCGGUUCACAGGUGGUGCAUGCCUGUCGUCAGCUCGUGUCGUGAGAUGUUGGGUUAAGUCCCGCAACGAGCGCAACCCUUGUUCACUGUUGCCAGCACGUUAUGGUGGGGACUCAGUGGAGACCGCCGGGGUCAACUCGGAGGAAGGUGGGGAUGACGUCAAGUCCUCAUGCCCCUUAUGUCCAGGGCUUCACGCAUGCUACAAUGGCUGGUACAGAGAGUGGCGAGCCUGUGAGGGUGAGCGAAUCUCGGAAAGCCGGUCUCAGUUCGGAUUGGGGUCUGCAACUCGACCUCAUGAAGUCGGAGUCGCUAGUAAUCGCAGAUCAGCAACGCUGCGGUGAAUACGUUCCCGGG
rnacentral:rRNA from 1 species